rnacentral:rRNA from 1 species
CCUACGGGUGGCAGCAGUGGGGAAUCUUGCACAAUGGGCGAAAGCCUGAUGCAGCGACGCCGCGUGCGGGAUGAAGGCCUUCGGGUUGUAAACCGCUUUCAGCAGGGACGAGGCCGCAAGGUGACGGUACCUGCAGAAGAAGCCCCGGCUAACUACGUGCCAGCAGCCGCGGUAAUACGUAGGGGGCAAGCGUUAUCCGGAUUCAUUGGGCGUAAAGCGCGCGUAGGCGGUCUGUUAGGUCAGGAGUUAAAUCUGGGGGCUCAACCCCUAUCCGCUCCUGAUACCGGCAGGCUUGAGUCUGGUAGGGGAAGAUGGAAUUCCAAGUGUAGCGGUGAAAUGCGCAGAUAUUUGGAAGAACACCGGUGGCGAAGGCGGUCUUCUGGGCCAUGACUGACGCUGAGGCGCGAAAGCUAGGGGAGCGAACAGGAUUAGAUACCCCGUGUAGUC